UUUUUCAUCGCAGCAGUACUGGACUGAAAGACCCCCGAAGGGAGACCCUCACUCAAGCCUCGGGACAGCCGCGGACCCAAGAAGACACUGAGACGA
rnacentral:pre_miRNA from 7 species